rnacentral:lncRNA from 1 species
UUUAAAACCCAAAAAUGAUCUAAUACACAAAAAUACACAAAAACACAAAAAACAUUAAAACACAAAAAUACACAAAGUUAGAGCUAAUACACAAAUACACAAAUACACAAAUACAUAAAAUACACAAAAAGUUAAAACUUAGAGCUAAUACGCAAAAAAUACACAAAUACACAAAUACACACAAAUAAACCAAAAACACAAAAAAACACAAAAAACGAAAAAACACAAAAAUACAUAAAAUACACAAAAAGUUAAAACUUAGAGCUAAUACGCAAAGUCGGGGAUCAUAAAAAGGGACCAAAAGAACUUAGAACUAAUACGCAAAGUCGGGGAUCAUAAAAAGGGACCGAAAGAACUUAGAGCUAAUACGCAAAGUCGGGGAUCAUAAAAAGGGACCGAAAGAACUUAGAGCUAAUACGCAAAGUCGGGGAUCNN